CAACGGAUGGGAGAAUCGCGCGGUAUCCGUUGCAUGAGGUGGAGCAGGAUCGCGGCCGUUUAUCGUGGCCUGUCAGGUAGUAAUGGAGCCGCGUGGGAUCCGUCGUAGGGAGUGGAGCAGUGCUGCGAUCGUUACUGCGGCCUGUCAGGGAGUGGUGGAGCUGCGCGGAAUCCGCCGCAGGAAGUGUAGCAGAAUCGUGGCCGUGAUUGUGGCCUGGGAGUGCAGAUCCGUCGGCUGAAGUUCGGCUAUGGUCGGAGU
rnacentral:lncRNA from 1 species